rnacentral:rRNA from 1 species
GUGAGGAAUAUUGGUCAAUGGGCGAGAGCCUGAACCAGCCAAGUCGCGUGAAGGAAGAAGGAUCUAUGGUUCGUAAACUUCUUUUGCAGGGGAAUAAAGUGCGGGACGUGUCCUGUUUUGUAUGUACCCUGAGAAUAAGGAUCGGCUAACUCCGUGCCAGCAGCCGCGGUAAUACGGAGGAUCCGAGCGUUAUCCGGAUUUAUUGGGUUUAAAGGGUGCGUAGGUGGUUUGAUAAGUCAGCGGUGAAAGUUUGCAGCUUAACUGUAAAAAUGCCGUUGAAACUGUCGGACUUGAGUGUAAAUGAGGUAGGCGGAAUGCGUGGUGUAGCGGUGAAAUGCAUAGAUAUCACGCAGAACUCCGAUUGCGAAGGCAGCUUACUAAGCUACAACUGACACUGAAGCACGAAAGCGUGGGGAUCAAACAGGAUUAGAAACCCGGGUAGUC